GAUGAACGCUGGCGGCGUGCCUAAUACAUGCAAGUCGAGCGAACAGACGAGGAGCUUGCUCCUCUGACGUUAGCGGCGGACGGGUGAGUAACACGUGGAUAACCUACCUAUAAGACUGGGAUAACUUCGGGAAACCGGAGCUAAUACCGGAUAAUAUAUUGAACCGCAUGGUUCAAUAGUGAAAGACGGUUUUGCUGUCACUUAUAGAUGGAUCCGCGCCGCAUUAGCUAGUUGGUAAGGUAACGGCUUACCAAGGCAACGAUGCGUAGCCGACCUGAGAGGGUGAUCGGCCACACUGGAAAUGAGACACGGUCCAGACUCCUACGGGAGGCAGCAGUAGGGAAUCUGCCGCAAUGGGCGAAAGCUUGACGGAGCAACGCCGCGGGAGUGAUGAAGGUCUUCGGAUCGUAAAACUCUGUUAUUAGGGAAGAACAAAUGUGUAAGUAACUAUGCACGUCUUGACGGUACCUAAGCAGAAAGCCACGGCUAACUACGU
rnacentral:rRNA from 1 species